rnacentral:misc_RNA from 1 species
ACUCUCAGCAUCAUUUUCAUUUCGAACUGCAUGGAUACAACGUUUUCUAUUGUCGGACUUACGACGACCAGUUGACGACUCAUUUUUACUAGUCAUGUUUUAAGUUGUUCUUCUAAACGUUGUAUUAAAAAAGUUAGCGGUUUCAUUACAACGAAAAAAUUAUGACGCAAGUUGCGCAUCAGGAGUGGGGAUUACCCAAUUUGGACUUUGCCAAGUCGUCUCGAAAACGAAAACAAUCGAAGCCUUCCAGAGUUUCAGAGAACGCUGUGAAAUUAGAGGAAGAGAGGAACAACGCCGCCGCUGCUGCUGCUGCUGCUGCCGCCACCGCCGCCGACGCCGCCCCCAUAUCCGUAUCGUCUUUCGCCUGCCAGCUGUGCGAAAGUAUUUUCGAUAGUCAAACUAUCCUGAAUGAUCAUGUUCGGAGUCAACAUGAACUUCAGAGGCAACGACCAGUAUCGCAUAGUCUUAGCGACCCUGAUGAAAUAGCAGACAAUGAAAAACCACAAGCAACACAGCAACAACAACUUGCGUCCUCCUUUCCAACAAAGUACCAUCAGUUGGGAAGCGAAAUUAACCAACAGGCCUUCGAUAUGGUUGAAUCUAUUGAGGAGGAAACAACAACAACUGCUGAAGGAGAUGAAGAAAUAGAGGAUACUGUACCUCCAGAAGAAGGUCAAGAAGUUACAGAAGGAAAGAUUUUCAAUAAGGAGGCUUAUUGUGAACGGUGUCGUAGAGAAUUUUGUAAUAAAUACUUCCUAAAGACUCAUUUGGCAACAAGACACGGUAUACUGGAUAGUAUCGAAACUUCUCCACCUGCAGCGCCUUCUGAAGUGUCGGAGAAACCUAGUCCAGAACCGGAACCGAUCUCCAAUUUGCCUCCUUUGCCACCGCCUGCCCCCAGCUUAGUGGGACUUCCACCGCCAACUACACCCCCCAGUCCAAAAGAUGAGCCGAAAAGCGUGCCGAAAGAUAUGGAAGACUACUGCGAUAUCUGUCAAAAGCACUUUUGCAAUAAGUAUUACUUGAGGAAGCACAAGCAAGACGUUCACGGUAUCAUACCGGAAACGCCACCUUCUUACCAUAAAAGGUCGAGAUCAGUAACGACGAAUGCGUCUCCGAAAAAUUCCAACGUUCCAACUUCACUAAUUCCGCCUUCCAAUGGACUCAAUCCACCCCCCUCCGGCCAGUCGUUUCCGCCAGGACUCAGUCCAAACUUGAUGUUCAUUAAUCCAUUUGCGUCUCCGGUUGCCCUUUUACCCGGUCAACCCUUACCCUUUCAAACACAAACGGGUCUACCGUCUCUCUCAGGAAUUCCGCCGCAGUUGUCAACCGAUUUCAAGUUUUCCACGGCUUCGACCAGUACAGUUAGCACGCCAAAACCUUCCAUACCCAAUGACGCUCUUCGGUCAAUGGGCGUUCUAAACGCCGAUGCUUAUUGCGAAAUAUGCCGAAAAGAGUUCUGCAACAAGUAUUUCUUGAAAAUUCACAAAGCCAACAAGCACGGUAUUUACGUCGACGACCUAGUCGGAAAUCGAAGUGGUAAUCAUUUCGACGCUCCUUCACCAGAAAUGCUUCACUCAUUCAUGCAAGCGGCGCAGCAAUUGAACGGGAUGAAUGGUGAAAUGGAAUUGGGUGAAAAGAAAACAUCGACAAUAACAACAACUACUACAGCCACGACAACAGCAGCGUCAUCAUCAUCGGCCGUCUCUACUGCAUCAUCAGUUACUCCACCUCUGACAAAUGCCACCGAUGAUUAUUGUGAAUAUUGCAAAAAGGAAUUUUCCAAUAAGUAUAAUCUUAAAGUUCAUUUAAUCAACGUACACGGAAUCAAACCGUCCGAAAAAAAGGAAGACGAAUUGACCGACCAACAACAGCCGACGCAUUUAGCAAACACUAUGCUUGGAAAUAUGAUAGCCGCGAGAAAUGCGGAACGAGUCAUCUGCGACAUAUGUAAUAAAGACGUUUGUAACAAGUACUUUUUACGGACUCAUAAGCUCAAGGUACACGGCGUCGAAACGCCUUCAGAUAGUCCAUCUCCAAAGAAGGAUGAAUCAACUACGCCAACUUUAAUUACUAAUCCGCAAAAGAAUAAUAAUAACAACAUCGAACAGGCAGUUGAUGUUCAAAAAGAAGAAGCCGGUGCAAACCUACCAAAACCUGGUGAUGACGAACUUUUGAAAAUGGGUAUAGACCCGGAAGCUUAUUGCGAAAUAUGUAAGAAGGAAUUUUGUUCUAAAUACUUCCUAAAAACACAUAAGCUCAAGAUACAUGGAAUAGGAGAAAAGAAAGAUGAAUUUACAAGAAACAAAAAUUCUCCUCCUCCGUCACAACCCCCCUCAUCGUCAGCAACAUCUCGACAAUCAUCUCCUCUGAACGUACCGAAUUUAGCGAAUAUUUCGGCUCUGUCACAUCUCUCCGCAUCAGCAGCGGCAACACCUCCAGGUUUACUGUCACAGGAGAUGUGUAUGUCGCCUUUCGAUCCCUUAUCAAUUCUAAACGGUGGAGAGAAUAAUCAAUGGAAAUGGAAGGAGCCUCUACACUCGCAAAGAGUCAUGUGCGAAUUAUGCCAGAAAGAAGUUUGUAAUAAAUACUUUCUUCGUACGCAUAUGCAGAAUAAGCAUGGCAUAACUAUUGAGGAGUACGUAUCAUAUAUGAUUAAAAAGGAAAAAGGGGGUGUGGGUUCCUCCCAACCCGAUAUUCAACCGCCGCCGUCCUCUUUAGCUACAUCACUUCCGCUCAACUUGAUGUCGGAUAAUAAGCUGUCUCUUCCUGCCUUCGUACAAAGCGAUGCCAUGAUGCGAAAGUGUCAAAUGUGUGGUCACGUCUUUACUAGCCAGGGGGCGCUGCAGAUGCAUGUUCUACGAGACCAUUCACAAAAUAAAAGUGAAUCGGUUGGUGAUUCAAAUGACGAAGAUGCAGGCCCACCUAAAAAGGCUAAGGUUGAGGCUGACGAUUGGCGUUCGGAGAGUGAAGAAGCCUCCUCGCAGAUUUCGUCCAAGUCCAUGAAAAAGAAAAAGUUCCGAUGCGUGCACUGUUCGCAAAAGUUCCCAACUAGAGCCCUAUGCCAACAGCACAUAAUAUUUUUUUGCAGGGUCGGAACACAAGGCCCAUGCUUCGAAGGCACUAACUGAAAACAAUUACGUCAUGCAGCCGUUUAAGGCCGAAGCGAUGACGUCGGAUGACACGUUCCUACCGGCGCUUAUCUACCUACCGGUUACGCAACCAAUUACGUCAUCAAGCGACGUCACCUUCAACUUAACGCCCAAAAGCGAAUCAACAUAAAACGUAACAAAUUCUAGCUUCCAUUGUGUGAUAAAUGCCUUAUAACGAAAAACAAUUGUAUGUAUA